rnacentral:rRNA from 1 species
UACAGGGGGUGCAAGCGUUGCUCGGAAUCAUUGGGCGUAAAGCGCACGUAGGCGGUCUGUUAUGUCGGAUGUGAAAGCCCUUGGCUUAACUGAGGAAGUGCAUCCGAAACUGGCAGGCUAGAGUACUAAAGAGGGUCGCGGAAUUCCCGGUGUAGAGGUGAAAUUCGUAGAUAUCGGGAGGAACACCAGUGGCGAAGGCGACUUCCUGGCCUGUUCUUGACGCUGAGGCGCGAAAGCUAGGGGAGCAAACGGG